rnacentral:rRNA from 1 species
GACGGAAGGUGCAAGCGUUGCUCGGAAUCACUGGGCGUAAAGGGUGCGUAGGCGGCUUGGUAGGUCUGGUGUGAAAGCCCCGGGCUCAGCCCGGGAAGGGCACUAGAAACUGCCAAGCUAGAGUGCCGGAGGGGAGAGUGGAAUUCCUGGUGUAGCGGUGAAAUGCGUAGAGAUCAGGAGGAAUACCGGUGGCGAAAGCGACUCUCUGGACGGCAACUGACGCUGAGGCACGAAGGCCAGGGGAGCAAGCGGG